AUACGGAGGUGGCUAGCGUUGUUCGGAAUUACUGGGCGUAAAGCGUACGUAGGCGGACUGAUCAGUUGGGGGUGAAAUCCCAGGGCUUAACCCUGGAACUGCCUUCAAUACUGUCAGUCUUGAGAUUGGAAGAGGUGAGUGGAAUUCCUAGUGUAGAGGUGAAAUUCAUAGAUAUUAGGAGGAACACCAGUGGCGAAGGCGGCUCACUGGUCCAAUACUGACGCUGAGGUACGAAAGCGUGGGGAGCAAACAGGAUUAGAAACCCUAGUAGUCC
rnacentral:rRNA from 1 species